rnacentral:rRNA from 1 species
UACGAAGGGGGCUAGCGUUGCUCGGAAUUACUGGGCGUAAAGGGCGCGUAGGCGGCCUGCUAAGUCGAACGUGAAAUCCCUGGGCUCAACCCAGGAACUGCGUCCGAUACUGGUUGGCUUGAAUCCGGGAGAGGGACGUGGAAUUCCAGGUGUAGCGGUGAAAUGCGUAGAUAUCUGGAGGAACACCGGUGGCGAAGGCGACGUCCUGGACCGGCAUUGACGCUGAGGCGCGAAAGCGUGGGGAGCAAACAGG